GACGAACGCUGGCGGCGUGCUUAACACAUGCAAGUCGAACGGAAAGGCCCUGCUUUUGUGGGGUGCUCGAGUGGCGAACGGGUGAGUAACACGUGAGUAACCUGCCCUUGACCUUGGGAUAACUUCAGGAAACUGGGGCUAAUACCGGAUAGGAGCUCCUGCUGCAUGGUGGGGGUUGGAAAGUUUCGGCGGUUGGGGAUGGACUCGCGGCUUAUCAGCUUGUUGGUGGGGUAGUGGCUUACCAAGGCUUUGACGGGUAGCCGGCCUGAGAGGGUGACCGGCCACAUUGGGACUGAGAUACGGCCCAGACUCCUACGGGAGGCAGCAGUGGGGAGUAUUGCACAAUGGGCGGAAGCCUGAUGCAGCAACGCCGCGUGCGGGAUGACGGCCUUCGGGUUGUAAACCGCUUUCGCCUGUGACGAAGCGUGAGUGACGGUAAUGGGUGAAGAAGCACCGGCUAACUACGUG
rnacentral:rRNA from 1 species